rnacentral:lncRNA from 1 species
AUCAAUGUUUAUUUUAAGAUACUAAGCUUGUCCUUGGGAAACCAUCAGUUUAUGUUGGCGAAGUGGUUUCCCCUCCGACGCCAACCUAUAUCUAGAUCAACUCAACGAGAUCUGCAAUAUUUAUUAUAGACAUAUGCAUCGACAACUGCCCUUUUAAAGUUUUUAUAAAUAGAAAGGAAGAGGGGGUUGGAGAUCUCAAGUGUGGUGAUGUCGGAGAGACCAAUAGAUUGGGAAGAUGUUGCAUAUGAGCAUGGAGUAAACGAAGUGGCUAUGAAAUAAAUUCCAUGCUCAUUAAUGUUAUCUUCGUCUCCAAUCUGAAUGUUCGGAGUUUCUCCUGGAUUGGUCUCACCUAUGUCCUCUUCUGUAGUUGGAUGAAUCUCAUCUUCAAAGGGAGUCA